GACGAACGCUGGCGGCGUGCUUAACACAUGCAAGUCGAACGGAGUUCCUUGGAUAGAGGCUUCGGCCAAUUGAAUUGGAACUUAGUGGCGGACGGGUGAGUAACGCGUGGGUAACCUGCCCUAUACAGGGGGACAACAGCUGGAAACGGCUGCUAAUACCGCAUAAGCGCACAGUACUGCAUGGUACAGUGUGAAAAACUCCGGUGGUAUAGGAUGGACCCGCGUCUGAUUAGCUUGUUGGUGAGGUAACGGGCCCACCAAGGCGACGAUCAGUAGCCGGCCUGAGAGGGUGAACGGCCACAUUGGGACUGAGACACGGCCCAAACUCCUACGGGAGGCAGCAGUGGGGAAUAUUGCACAAUGGGGGAAACCCUGAUGCAGCGACGCCGCGUGAGUGAAGAAGUAUUUCGGUAUGUAAAGCUCUAUCAGCAGGGAAGAAAAUGACGGUACCUGACUAAGAAGCCCCGGCUAACUACGUG
rnacentral:rRNA from 1 species